AGCACAGUCAGAUUGGAUGGAAAGCGUCUGUGAACAGCAAUUUUCAAGUCUUGCCAGAGAUUCUCAAUUGGAUUUAGGUCUGGACUUUGACUGGGCCAUUCUAAUACAUGAAUAUGCUUUGCUUUGAUCAGGUCGUUGUCCUGCUGGAAGGUGAACCUCCGCUCUCAAGUCUUUUGCAGACUCUAACAGGUUUUCUUCUAAGAUUGCCCUGUAUUUGGCUCCAUCUAUCUUCCCAUCAACUCUGACCAGCUUCCCUGAUGGUGUGUUCAGGGUGAUGUGCAGUGUUAGUUUUCCCGCAACACAUAGCGUUUUGCAUUUAGGCCGAAAAAUUCAAUUUUGGUCUCAUCUGACCAGAGCACCUUCCUCCACGUUUGCUGUGUCCCCCAUCUGGCUUGUGGCAAGCUGCAAACGGGACUUCUUAUGGCUUUGUUCCAACAAUGGCUUUCUUCUUGCCACUCUUCCACAAAGGCCCGAAUUGUGGAGUGCACAACUGAUAGUUGUCCUGUGGACAGAUUCUCCCACCUGAGCUGUGGAUCUCUGCAGCUCCUCCAGAGUUACCAUGGGCCUCUUGGCUGCUUCUCUGAUCAAUGCUCUCCUUGCCCGGCCUGUCAGUUUAGGUGGACGGCCACGUCUUGGUAGGUUUGCAGUUGUGCCAUACUCUUUCCAUUUUCGGAUGAUGGAUUGAACAGUGCUCCGUGAGAUGUUCAAAGCUUGGGAUAUAUUUUUUACAACCUAACCCUGC